rnacentral:rRNA from 1 species
UACGGAGGGGGCUAGCGUUGUUCGGAAUUACUGGGCGUAAAGCGCACGUAGGCGGCGAUUUAAGUCAGAGGUGAAAGCCCGGGGCUCAACCCCGGAACUGCCUUUGAGACUGGAUUGCUAGAAUCAUGGAGAGGUGAGUGGAAUUCCGAGUGUAGAGGUGAAAUUCGUAGAUAUUCGGAAGAACACCAGUGGCGAAGGCGGCUCACUGGACAUGUAUUGACGCUGAGGUGCGAAAGCGUGGGGAGCAAACAGG